CGGCAGCCGGCUCAGGCCCUGCGGCCUGGCGUGCUGGGGCCUAGGCCGGGUUCCCACCGCCAGCCGUGCCCAGCGCCGGCCAGGGGGCCUUGCUGCGAGUGGGGUGCUGAGGUUGGAGCCACCUGCAGAACAUUCCAGAAUCCUGUUCCCCUGGCUGAUACCGAGGGUCUGCGAUCCUCCAAAGCCGGGGAGCCCCUGGAUGUGGGAAGAAGUUCCGACCCAAAGGGAGACCAGGCCGCCCACAAUCUAAAGGCUUGGUCCAGACUCCGCUUUACAGAUGCGCAAACUGAGACUCGGGGAGGAGAAAGCAAGUCAGAGGCUCAGGGCGGCCCCCGUGUGGGCCUCUGACCCUGAAGCCGAGCGGGCUCCCAUCGUCCUGCCAGCAAAACGGGUGCAAACCGCGUCCUCCGGGGGGCAGAUGCCCGCUCUCAACGGCCAGGCCCGGGACCGGCCCUAGGAACGGAGACACGACCCGGCCGGCGCGGCCGCGCGGGCGGCCACGCAAACCUGACAAUAAAACCCGAAAGCCCACCCCCACCG